AUUGAACGCUGGCGGCAGGCCUAACACAUGCAAGUCGAACGAGUGGCGGACGGGUGAGUAAUGUCUGGGAAACUGCCUGAUGGAGGGGGAUAACUACUGGAAACGGUAGCUAAUACCGCAUACAAUCAGAUGUGCCCAGAUGGGAUUAGCGAGUGGGUGGGGUAACGGCUCACAAAGGCGACGAUCACUAGCUGGUCUGAGAGGAUGACGAGCCACACUGGAACUGGGACACGGCCCAGAGUCGUACGGGAGGCAGCAGUGGGGAAUAUGGCACAAUGGGCGCAAGCCUGAUGCAGACAUGCCGCGUGUAUGAAGAAGGCCUUCGGGUUGUAAAGUACCUUCAGCGGGGAGGCGUUACCCGCAGAAGAAGCACCGGCUAACUCCGUGCCAGCCGCCGCGGUAAUUC
rnacentral:rRNA from 1 species